GGGCCCGUAGCUCAAUUUGGUAGAGCAGCGGCCUUUUAAGCCGCGUGUUGUGGGUUCGAGUCCCACCGGGCUCACCA
rnacentral:tRNA from 1 species